AUGACCCAUUCGGCUUCCCGGCUCCGGCCGCCGCCGUCUUCCCGUGUCCGCCCGCGUCGCGCCCGGGCCGAGGAGCCGUUGAGGGGGUGGGGGGUCCGGGCCGAGGCCCGCUCGUGUGGAAGUCCUCGCGGCCGUCCCGUCAACACGCUGGCGCUCAUCUCCCGCUUGCUGGACUGGUUCCGCUCGCUCUUCUGGAAGGAGGAGCUGGAGCUGCAGUACUCGGGCAAGACCACCUUCGUCAAUGUCAUCGCGUCAGGUCAGUUCAGUGAAGACAUGCUACCCACAGUGGGCUUCAACAUGAGGAAAGUAACUAAAGGUAACGUCACAAUAAAGAUCUGGGACAUUGGAGGACAGCCCCGAUUCCGGAGCAUGUGGGAGCAGUACUGCAGAGGAGUCAAUGCCAUCGUUUACAUGAUAGAUGCUGCAGAUCGUGAAAAGAUAGAACCUUCUCGAAACGAACUACAUAAUCUUCUAGAUAAACCGCAGUUACAAGGAAUUCCAGUACUAGUUCUUGGAAACAAGAGAGAUCUUCCAAAUGCCUUGGAUGAGAAACAGCUAAUUGAAAAAAUGAAUCUGUCUGCUAUUCAGGAUAGAGAAAUUUGCUGCUAUUCAAUUUCUUGCAAAGAAAAGGAUAAUAUAGAUAUCACACUUCAGUGGCUUAUUCAACACUCAAAAUCGAGAAGAAGCUGAGACAUCCAUGAAGUCUUCCAGUCCUUCUUGGCUAUAAUCCUAGAAUUAUUGUCCGUUCCUCUGAAGUACUUCCCAGAAUACGGUCCUUCCUAAACCCAAGAAAUUGCCUUUUUCAGAGUUUAUUUCUCAUGUGCACUGCUGAAG